rnacentral:rRNA from 1 species
CCUACGGGUGGCCGUAGUGAGGAAUAUUGGUCAAUGGGCGCGAGCCUGAACCAGCCAAGUAGCGUGAAGGAUGACUGCCCUACGGGUUGUAAACUUCUUUUAUAAAGGACUAAAGUGAGGCACGUGUGCCUUUUUGUAUGUACUUUAUGAUUAAGGAUCGGCUAACUACGUGCCAGCAGCCGCGGUAAUACGGAGGAUCCGAGCGUUAUCCGGCUUUAUUGGGUUUAAAGGGAGCGUAGAUGGGUUGUUAAGUCAGUUGUGAAAGUUUGCGGCUCAACCGUAAAAUUGCAAUUGAUACUGGCAGCCUUGAGUACAGUUGAGGUAGGCGGAAUUCGUGGUGUAGCGGUGAAAUGCUUAGAUAUCACGAAGAACUCCGAUUGCGAAGGCAGCUUACUAAACUGCCACUGACAUUGAUGCUCGAAAGUGUGGGUAUCAAACAGGAUUAGAUACCCGUGUAGUC